rnacentral:rRNA from 1 species
CAGCCGCCACGGUAAUACGGAGGGGGCUAGCGUUGUUCGGAAUUACUGGGCGUAAAGCGCACGUAGGCGGCGAUUUAAGUCAGAGGUGAAAGCCCGGGGCUCAACCCCGGAACUGCCUUUGAGACUGGAUUGCUAGAAUCUUGGAGAGGUCAGUGGAAUUCCGAGUGUAGAGGUGAAAUUCGUAGAUAUUCGGAAGAACACCAGUGGCGAAGGCGACUGACUGGACAAGUAUUGACGCUGAGGUGCGAAAGCGUGGGGAGCAAACAGGAUUAGAUACCCGAGUAGUCCCUGUCUCUUAUAC